UGAAGGUGAGACGAGAAAGAGCUGCUCCACAGUCAAGGUUGUGAACAACAAAGGAACAGUUAUCCUUUUAGGGUCUUCCUCCUCCAGGCUUUUGAGGACAAAGAUGAAUUAUUUUUAAAAAGAAGCCAGUAUGGAGGCACCUGAAUCAGUGAAAGUAAUUCCACCAGGGUCCUUCUCAAGCAGUACACUCAGCAUCGCAGCAUCAGGCCACCAUGGCUUUGGACUACGUCUUGCUGAAAGACAAGGGGAGGAAAUGUGCUACUGGAGGCCAGAGCAUCUGGGGCUUGGACGAGGGCCACCCGGACAGGAGCUGUAACCAUGGAAGGGGGAAGCCAUGGCCAGAGAUGCAGCACCAGGGAUCUUCCUGACCCAGGCAUUGAACCCGAGUCUCCUGCAUCGCAGAUGGAUUCUUGACCGCUGAGGCAUCAGGCAAGCCCACUGGAUCCAUGCUUAAGAAAUACUCCAAGGGAGCUAUAAGGAGCCAGGACAGAGUUAAGUCUCUGUAUCCAAAGAAUCUACUCCACAUCCCUACUCACUUGCUUUAUCUGUUUAGCAAACU